rnacentral:rRNA from 1 species
CAGCCGCCGCGGUAAUACCGGCGGCCCGAGUGGCGGUCACUAUUAUUGGGCUUAAAGCGUCCGUAGCCGGGUUGGGAAGUCCUCCGGGAAAUCUGGCCGCUUAACGGUCAGAAUGCCGGAGGAUACUCCCAGCCUAGGGAGCGGGAGAGGCCGAGGGGAUUCCCGGAGUAGGGGGGAAAUCCUAUAAUCCCGGGAGGACCACCUGUGGCGAAGGCGCUCGGCUGGAACGCGUCCGACGGUGAGGGACGAAGGCCAGGGGAGCAAACCGGAUUAGAUCCCCGGGUAGUCCUGGCUGUAAACGAUGCGGACUUUGUGUCGGACAAGCUAUGAGCUUGUCCGGUGCCGGAGGGAAACCGUUAAGUCCGCCGCCUGGGGAGUACGGCCGCAAGGCUGAAACUUAAAGGAAUUGGCGGG